rnacentral:rRNA from 1 species
UACGUAGGGUGCGAGCGUUGUCCGGAAUUAUUGGGCGUAAAGAGCUCGUAGGUGGUUCGGUAAGUCGGAUGUGAAAUCUCCAGGCUCAACCUGGAGGGGUCAUUCGAUACUGCCGUGACUAGAGUUCGGUAGGGGAGUGUGGAAUUCCUGGUGGAGCGGUGAAAUGCGCAGAUAUCAGGAGGAACACCCUAGCGAAGGCGGCACUCUGGGCCGAUACUGACACUGAGGAGCGAAAGCGUGGGGAGCGAACAGG